rnacentral:lncRNA from 1 species
UGCUCAGUAGCCCCGCAGGUCCUGUUUCACUGGGAAGCCGGCCGCGGCCCCCACCCCUCCCGCCCGGCUCGGGCGCCAGGAGAAGCGGACAUUUUAGCCUCCUCUGCAAUCCGCUCUCGUUCGUGUCCUUCUCCCCCUCUCGUCCGGCUUGAGUGCAAUGGUGCUGUGUCUGCAGUUUGUUCCUGCCGGUGGGUUCGUGGUCUCCCUGACUUCAAGAAUGAAGCUGCGGACCUUCACGGUGAGUGUUAUCGCUCUUAAAGGUGGCGUGGGCCCAAAGAGUGAGUAGCAGCAAGAUUUGUUGUGAAGAGUGAAAGAACAAAGCUUCCACAGCAUGGAAAGGGAACCGAGUGGGUUGCCAGUGCUGGCUGGGGUGGCCAGCUUUUAUUCCCUUAUUGGCCCCUCUCAUAUUCCAUUUCUGUCUAAGUAGAGUGCCCUUUUUCAAUCCUCCCUGUGAUUGGCUACUUUUAGGAUCCUGCUGAUUAUUGCAUUUUACAGAGCGCUGAUUGGUGCAUUUUAC